CGUAACAAGGUAGCUGUAGGUGGACCUGCUGCUGGAUCAUUA
rnacentral:rRNA from 1 species